AAAGUCGUAACAAGGUCUCCGUUGGUGAACCAGCGGAGGGAUCAUUACAGAGUUGCAAAACUCCCUAAACCCUUUGUUUAUAUACCUGUUCAGUUGCUUCGGCAGGCGGCCCCAGGGCGGGGCCUCCAGCCUGCUCACGCAGGUGCCUGCCGCUGGCGCAAAAACUCUUGUUAUAUAUUAUUAUUCUGAGUCACAAAAAAAAUGAAUCAAAACUUUCAACAACGGAUCUCUUGGUUCUG
rnacentral:misc_RNA from 1 species